rnacentral:rRNA from 1 species
CAGCCGCCGCGGUAAUGCGAGGGGGGCAAGCGUUGUUCGGAAUUAUUGGGCGUAAAGGGCGCGUAGGCGGUUUGGCAAGUUUCGUGUGAAAUCUUCGGGCUCAACCUGGGAAUUGCAGUGGAUACUGGAUCACUAGAGUGUGGUAGAGGAUAGUGGAAUUUCCGGUGUAGCAGUGAAAUGCGUAGAGAUCGGAAGGAACACCAACGGCGAAAGCACUCUGCUGGGCCGACACUGACACUGAGAGACGAAAGCUAGGGGAGAAAAUGGGAUUAGAUACCCGAGUAGUCCCUGUCUCUUAUAU